AUAGCAUGGAUGAGGAGUAUGAACACAACAAGUUCAUCACAAAUUCACACAAAUCCUAACCCCCAAACAUAGGUUAUUUUCCCCCAAAGGCUAAAUCUAUCUAAGAACUCACCUAGUAGAAGAAUAAGAUGAAGUUGGUGAGGAUGAUGAGUAGAAAAUGGUGAUGAUUAGCUUUUCCUUUUCUCCUCCAAGCCUUUCUUCCUUCUUUCUCUCUUCUUCUUUCUUCUCUUUUCCUCUUCUCUACUCUUCCCUUUCUUCUUU
rnacentral:lncRNA from 1 species